AUUGAACGCUGGCGGCGUGCUUUAAACAUGCAAGUAGGACGAGUGGCGAACGGGUGAGUAACGCCUCGGGACGUAACGAGUAAUGGGGGCUAACUGUCCGAAAGGACCGCUACUACCGAAUAUUAUUCCCACGGCCGCGGUCUGAUUAGCUGGUUGUCGGGGUAAAGGCACACCAAGGAGACGAUCAGUAGCCGGUCUGAGAGGAUGAACGUCCACAUGGGGACUGAGACACGGCCCAGACGCCUACGGGAGGCAGCAGGGGGGAAUUUUGGAAAAGGGGCGCAAGCCGGAUCAAGCCAUGCCGCGUGUCUGAAGAAGGCCUUCGGGUUGUAAAGGACUGUUGUCAGGGAAGCGGUACCUGAAGAAUAAGCACCGGCUAACUACGUGCCAGCAGCCGCGGUAAUAC
rnacentral:rRNA from 1 species